GCCCCCACAGCCCUGCUGCAGCUUGCUCAGCAGCACUAUGCACCCCUUUGCUCACAGCAUCCCCAGAGCAAAAUCUGAAACUUUUUAGAAAGUAACAUUUAACAGCAUUUAAAUAACAAUGAAUAAAAUUUCAAAUGCUUGUUUACAAAAUAUUUGUCUUAUUACACAUUCAUAUUUGCUACCAGCAAACCUUACUUUCACAACUUAAUUUUUCAUUUUAAACAAUAAACAUUCCUUGUAAAUUAUU